GUUCCAAAAACAUUUUUUUUCCCCUGAAAUAGUUCUGCUGAUAAAUAAUGUGUGUUGUUGUUUUUUCCUAUGUCCUUUUAUAAGCCUUAAAGCCUGCAUGAAGAGGAGACUGAGGAGGAUCAACAUUAAGUCCAAUUCACUUCUUCGUCUUUAUUUUCUAUCCUUUCCAUGUUUUAUUCUAACAAAUAAAUCACUGCCCAGGUUUGAUUUCAA